GAGCGGAAGGCCCUUCGGGGUACUCGAGCGGCGAACGGGUGAGUAACACGUGAGCAACCUGCCCCCGACUCUGGGAUAAGCCCGGGAAACUGGGUCUAAUACCGGAUAUGACCACCGUCCGCAUGGGCUGGUGGUGGAAAGUUUUUCGGUUGGGGAUGGGCUCGCGGCCUAUCAGCUUGUUGGUGGGGUAGUGGCCUACCAAGGCGACGACGGGUAGCCGGCCUGAGAGGGCGACCGGCCACACUGGGACUGAGACACGGCCCAGACUCCUACGGGAGGCAGCAGUGGGGAAUAUUGCGCAAUGGGCGAAAGCCUGACGCAGCGACGCCGCGUGGGGGAUGACGGCCUUCGGGUUGUAAACCUCUUUCAGCAGGGACGAAGUUGACGUGUACCUGCAGAAGAAGCGCCGGCUAACUACGUGCCAGCAGCCCCGGGGUAAUUCA
rnacentral:rRNA from 1 species